rnacentral:misc_RNA from 1 species
AGUCGUAACAAGGUCUCCGUUGGUGAACCAGCGGAGGGAUCAUUACCGAGUUUACAACUCCCAAACCCAAUGUGAACGUUACCAAACUGUUGCCUCGGCGGGAUCUCUGCCCCGGGUGCGUCGCAGCCCCGGACCAAGGCGCCCGCCGGAGGACCAACCAAAACUCUUAUUGUAUACCCCCUCGCGGGUUUUUUUAUAAUCUGAGCCUUCUCGGCGCCUCUCGUAGGCGUUUCGAAAAUGAAUCAAAACUUUCAACAACGGAUCUCUUGGUUCUGGCAUCGAUGAAGAACGCAGCGAAAUGCGAUAAGUAAUGUGAAUUGCAGAAUUCAGUGAAUCAUCGAAUCUUUGAACGCACAUUGCGCCCGCCAGUAUUCUGGCGGGCAUGCCUGUCCGAGCGUCAUUUCAACCCUCGAACCCCUCCGGGGGGUCGGCGUUGGGGAUCGGCCCUCCCUUAGCGGGUGGCCGUCUCCGAAAUACAGUGGCGGUCUCGCCGCAGCCUCUCCUGCGCAGUAGUUUGCACACUCGCAUCGGGAGCGCGGCGCGUCCACAGCCGUUAAACACCCAACUUCUGAAAUGUUGACCUCGGAUCAGGUAGGAAUACCCGCUGAACUUAAGCAUAUCAAUAAGCGGAGGAA